rnacentral:rRNA from 1 species
AUUGAACGCUGGCGGAAUGCUUUACACAUGCAAGUCGAACGGUAGAGGGGGCAACCCCUUGAGAGUGGCGAACGGGUGAGUAAUGUAUCGGAACGUGCCCAGUCGUGGGGGAUAACGUAGUGAAAAUACGCCUAAUACCGCAUACGAUCUAUGGAUGAAAGCGGGGGAUCGCAAGACCUCGCGCGAUUGGAGCGGCCGAUAUCAGAUUAGGUAGUUGGUGGGGUAAAGGCUCACCAAGCCAACGAUCUGUAGCUGGUCUGAGAGGACGACCAGCCACACUGGAACUGAGACACGGUCCAGACUCCUACGGGAGGCAGCAGUGGGGAAUUUUGGACAAUGGACGCAAGUCUGAUCCAGCCAUUCCGCGUGCAGGACGAAGGCCUUCGGGUUGUAAACUGCUUUUGUACGGAACGAAAAAGCUCUUAUUAAUACUAGGAGUCCAUGACGGUACCGUAAGAAUAAGCACCGGCUAACUACGUGCCAGCAGCCGCGGUAAUACGUAGGGUGCAAGCGUUAAUCGGAAUUACUGGGCGUAAAGCGUGCGCAGGCGGUUAUAUAAGACAGAUGUGAAAUCCCCGAGCUUAACUUGGGAACUGCAUUUGUGACUGUAUAGCUAGAGUACGGCAGAGGGGGAUGGAAUUCCGCGUGUAGCAGUGAAAUGCGUAGAUAUGCGGAGGAACACCGAUGGCGAAGGCA